CAAGACGUAGCUUAAACAAAAGCACUCAGCUUACACCUGAGAGAUGUCUGCUGACACCAGAUCGUCUUGA
rnacentral:tRNA from 1 species